CUUUGUUUGCCUCUCACCCCUAUCCCACUUUCGCCGCCAUUCCCCACUCCCCCUCACUUUCCUGCUGCCCUUAGCCCUGAAAGUAAGAAACCUGACUCUGGGGGGUAUUCAGAUUCUGUCUAGGGGCACCCCAAAACACCUUGGACUGGAGACAAGGAAACAAAAAGAGAAGCCCCCCCAGGGACCACAGGAAUACCCAGAAAACAAGCCCCUCUCCUUCACUAGCCUAAGAAGAGAGCUCUGGGCCCUACUUGAACUACUGCCCCAAGUGGAUGGGCCAGGUAACAGGGAUGCAAACAGAACACACUGGGAACAGGUACGACCAUGACGGCCAGUGUAUCGGGACCUGGCCUGGUCUCCACUCCCAGGCCACUGAGCAGCACGACUGGGUAUGAGCAGCUCUCCCUAGCGCCGCUCAGCUACAGCUGACUUGAGCGUCCUGCCUUCCAGGAGGGAUCUUAACAGCAGAGACGAUCUGAGUACUGUUCCUGGAGCUGGUGGGAGGAUUGGGUAUCCCGGUGUAGCAGCCAAGAGGCCCUCCAAGCUGUGCACUGCCUGGGUGAGCGUCACUCAACCCCUGUGGGUGCGCAUCCUAUAAAUGAGGAUGAUGCCACUUUGGUCCACGGGCGCGUGGUCCAUUUCUGUCCUCCAUUCUAAGGAAUCAAUGACUUGGAGCUUCUCCGCAGGGAAGACCCCGAGCCACAGGGGCACACGCUGUGUGUCGGACACUAUCUUAAGUCAGUGACUCAUCAGGCAUCAAGUAACGAGGCUAAGAAAAGCCCUCCCCUGAGCUCACCUCCCAUCAAUGGAGACAAACAAUUACUUAAGACUUCUAGAAAUACCCCAGGCACUCACAGCCAGCUCCAC